UGCCAGAACAAGAAAUGUCUAUAUCUUGGACUGAAAAAGGAUGCUUUGCCCCUGCGGUUGUGAAGAGGAUGCUGUGGAGGUGGCAGCAUGAACGUGUCACACAGACAUUGGCUAAACUACUCGGCUUCUACACUUGCCCUCAGAGUUCACAUAUGGUGAAGUGCACAGGUGUCCAGUCAGGUUCAGACUGAUGCUGGUAACAAGAGGAAAACAUGCUAAUUGGUCAGUCCAUGAGCCCACGUCUUCAGGUCAUGGGCCUGAGAAGAAUCUACCGUUACAGGGGUCAGAAGAGAUCCUCAAACUAUGCUGACAUUACUACCCCUGUACUUCAACCCCUCUGCUGCCACUGGGUCCUCAACGAGAAAAUAAACUGAUUCCCCCCCCCCCCAAUCCAUUCCUUUUUCCACCGUCAAAUCACACCAUGCCUAUGCACAUUAACACCACCAAUGAGCCUAGAAAACUAGGACAACAGUGAGGAUGAAUUUAGAAACCGCUUCCACGUAUUGUACUAUUUCUGAAAAAGCAUUGGUAUUGGCCUUCUAUCUCCACGUAGCCAUAUCAAAA